rnacentral:lncRNA from 1 species
UGUAUGAUCAGGUGUUUCAUGUCAUGUUCAGUUCUGGAGUGGUAAAUGAAUGUUGUAUAAUCAGGUGUCACAUGUCAUGUUCAGUACUGGAAUGGGUAAACUGGAAUGGGUAAUGAAUGCUGCAUGUCACAUGUCAUGUUCAAUACAAGAGUGGUAAAUGUAUGUGGUAUAAUCAGGGGUCACAUGUCAUAUUCAGUUCAAGAGUGGUAAAUGCAGGUUUUAUGAUCAGGUGUCACAUGUCAUAUUCAGUACAGAAGUGGUUAAUGAAUGUUGUAGAAUCAGGUGUCACAUGACAUGUUUAGAACAGGAGUGGUCAAUGAAUGUUGUAGAAUCAGGUGUCACAUGACAUAUUUAGAACAGGAGUGGUUAAUGAAAGUUGUAUGAUCAGGUGUCAUGUCUCAAGUCAUGGUCAUGCAAGACUUUUUUUUGAACCAAAGUAAUGUUUUUUGUGUAGAAUACUAUGUUACGUGUAAUGAAG